rnacentral:rRNA from 1 species
CCUACGGGUGGCAGCAGUGAGGAAUAUUGGUCAAUGGCCGAGAGGCUGAACCAGCCAAGUCGCGUGAGGGAAGAAUGUCCUAUGGAUUGUAAACCUCGUUUGUCAGGGAGCAAAGUCACCCACGUGUGGGUGUGGGAGAGUACCUGAAGAAAAAGCAUCGGCUAACCCCGUGCCAGCAGCCGCGGUAAUACGGAGGAUGCGAGCGUUAUCCGGUUUGAUUGGGUUAAAAGGGUGCGCAGGCGGAAUGUAAAGUGAGCGGUAAAAUUUCGGGGCUCAACCCCGUCGGGCCGUUGAAACUGGCGUUCUUGAGUGAGCGAGAGGUAUGCGGAAUGCGAGGUGUAGCGGUGAAAUGCAUAGAUAUAACGCAGAACUCCGAUUGCGAAGGCAGCAUACCGGCGCUCAACUGACGCUCAUGCACGAAAGCGUGGGUAUCGAACAGGAUUAGAUACCCUUGUAGUC